ACUAAUUGCCUGAAGGAGCCUGAGGCAGGGAGAAGCAGUACUUUGCAGUUGGCGCUCUCAGGUUGUUCUUUGAGGGAUUUGUGAGGCGCCUGCCGUGCAUGUGCAAUCUGCUGAGGAGGGACAGGACGGUCGUGGAGUGCCCCCAGCAGAAAAGGUGGACAAUAAGAUUGGAAAUGCAGAUUAUCGAGUACCGGUGGAGCACGUGCCCUAUCGAGAAGAUUCCUCCGAGGAAUCCGCUUGCUGCUCGUGUCUGCAGGCGGUCUCCUAAGGGUCCUCUGUGCAGUGUGCGCGGGAGGUGAUGAGCAUACAUGGCUGUGUCAAAAUGCAGGCGCAGAAGACAAAGUUGCCUUCUCCUUUCCAGACAUGCUGUAGACGAACAGAAAUGUUCUGGACCACCUGAAAUUCUUGCGCUAUUACUAAUACUUGACUAGCAUUGGCAGCAGUUGGCGGAGCUUGCUUCCAUCCUGGCUGAAGGCCUCAGGAAGACACCAAGGACUGGUUGCAGGAGGAAGAUUGGGCUCUCAAGUCCAAGCUGCAGUUUCUGCAGUUGGUAGCCCUGAUUCUCUAAACCAGGAAUGGAAGAUGAAUUUGCAUGGACUAUUCUCAGUGGAGGGAGAUUAAACCAUGUGCUGAGUUUAUACCUGAAACGUUAUUCAAGAAAAAACUUUGAUGCCCGAGGGUGGGAAGAAAACUCCAGCACCAAUAAAUAAUUUGGGAGGAAUGACGGACAAAUUGAAUGAAAGGCACUGAAAUAUUAGAAAAGAAUUCAUAAACUGUGUCUCUUGCCAGGCUCCUUUUGCAAUGCGAGAUGUUGGCUCUGUUGUCUCCGCCGUGUUCAUGCUGCAUAAAUAUUUAUGGUUUGUAAUGCAGAGGUUUGUCACAUGUAAUUACGUGAAGCUAACAUGAUGCUGUCUGUAGGUGACUUGCUGCACCGGAAAACACUGACAAAUGAUACUUUGCUCCAGGAAAAUAGGUGUUAGUGGUGCUUUGUGACUAGCUAGAGGACUAGAAAGCUCCCAGUGCAGAGAGUUGUUCCUCCCUCCCAUGGUACUUGCAGAGGGGGUGAUCCAGGUACUGGUUAACUUCUAUCUGAUGGUUUUCAGAGAGUGCAGGUGAUUGCCCAUCUGCGUGCCUCAGUACUGACCAAAGAGACUGAUGGGCUGAGACCCUAGUUCAAUCCCCAUGGGUUUAGCCCUUUGCUGACCUUGCCUACAAGGAGCCCACUUAGUGCCAGGGGUUUAGCUCACAGCAAACAGUCUCCCUGAAACCACCAAAUACGCACCUCUUGGCCACUCUCUGAGUUUGAACUUGCAGUUUAGAGGUGAAAGGCUCCUUACCCCAUCAGCAGUCAGAGCAGUCAGUCAAGCCUGGGCCCAUCUCAGACCAUGUGUUGUCCUGAAGGUAUCUCGUUACAUCCUGGGGGGCAGGAACUGCCCUGCUUCCUGCAUUUAGUGCCAAGUAGCCAUGGUGGCAUCAGACUGCCAGUCCCUCCACAAAGACAAAGCCGCACAUAUAGUCCUAUGUUUUUCUCCUCGACUUUCUCCAAGGGGCCAUUUCACAUUAGCAACCUGCUCCUCCUGCAAGUGAGAACCAAUACCAAUGGAAGAUGAUGCUAAUACAGCCCGCUGAGGUGUUGCUAACGGGCUUUCUUGCAUAUGUACUGGCCUCUAGUUGUUUUACCACUCCAUCCAGGAAGAGCACAGACCAUCUGCAGACGCUUCUUCAGCCUGAUAAAGGGCAUUUGUGCUCGAAAGCUUGCUAAGAAGAAUUUUUCCAACUCUGAGCUGGUCUAAUAAAAAGUAUUGAUUGGAUUUACCCGAAGAACCUUGUCUGCUAAUGGGAUGAGGCUGUUGCAUUUUGUCAGUGCAGGGGAAACCAUUCCUGCCAGCUCCAGCUCAUUCCUGCUGUUGUCCAAGAGCACUGGAGAGACUCCAGAGCUUCUCUGAAAACCCUCCUCCGCAGCCAUCCUUAACCAGUGCACACAGCCAUGCACACAGCACCUGGCCAGAGCAGUAGGUGGCUGCAUGGAUUCCCGCUAACCGCAGAUGGGCAUCCCUGGCAGCAGAGCCUCCGAGCUGCUUAUGGAGUGGAGCAGUCUUGAGAUAUUCCAGGAGAGAGCAUUUUUAUAUGCACACGCCUACACCCAGAGCUACUUGGACUGAUCUUCUAACAGAGGGCAGGAGCCUCUCUCUUGCGCACGCACGCGCACACUCGCACAAUGUUGCAACACCUCUCUCUCCUUGAAUAAGAGUGGCACUGACGCUUGCAAAGGACCUCUUCCUUCUGACAGCUCUCUGACUCCUGCUGUUCACAGACUGUAGCACCACUCAUCACAUUGACAAGGCUCUGUGACGCACGCAUUGGGGUGACUUCAAAAAGGAUAGAAAAUACUGAUCUGCAGGGGCUUGCGGUAAUAAGAAGGCCUGUGCCAGAUGGACAUGAGACUGCAUUGGGUCGCCAUAAGCAGCGGUCUUCCACACGCCUUCUACUGCUGGCAUGGGGUCAGGAUGAAAGAUCCCUCCAAACAUACAGGCCUGCCUGCACGCCCCAUUUUUACGCUGCUAAUAACACCAAUGUCUUCACCCCUGAACCACGCAAUUCUUUCUCCUCUAUUGUUCUGCAUUAUUUCCACUGCUGGAGGCACUGAAACUCUCUCCUAGCCUCCCUGAUAAUAUCAUCCAUUGUUCUCACCUACCACUGCUCAUCACUGAGUCAUGCUGCUAUCUGACAGCAAAAGCACAAAGGUCUCAGAGCUAUCAGGUGCACCCAGCCAAUAUCUGGCUGCUUGGUUAGUUAGUAUCUGUGCUUUGUCUUCAGAAAAGUUCGGGGAUGGGGGAAGGGCAGGAAGACAAAUGGAAUUAAUCCUCUGAAUUCAUUAUGCAAAAUCUUGGCAUCCCUCCAGCCUCUCUCUUGCACAAAUGGUCAAUGUUUUUCUUUAAUAGCAUUAAGCAAAAUUACAAAUCACAACGUUGGUUAAUCAAUCUCAAUAGGUUUCUCUGCAUGUAUUUUCUUUUUUUUUUUUUUGGGUGGGGGGGGACCUUUUCUUCUGGAGAUGACUGUAGCAGAUGAUUUUUUUUUUCCUCUCUUUUUUUCCUUCUCUUGCAUUGACAGUAAUUGCUGGAGAUGCGGGUGAUUUUUAUCUGUUCUGAAGUUCUUACAUGGACAGACAAAAUGAUGCAUGUCCAAAACAAGGAGAUAAAGGACUCGGGUGCAGCUGAGCUCCGAACCAAGCCCAACACAAGCAGACGUGGGUCUGGUACAGCUCCUUCACAAGGCUCCAAAGGCUGAGAGAAUGGGAGGCAGCUGAAUCAGGAAAUAACUCCUGGCAUAAGGGAGUUUACUAGAUGAUAUGGGGCCAGUAUUGUGGUUCCCUGGGCAGGAUGUGGAACAGAAGAAAUUCUAGUUGGAAAAGACUUAAGUCACACCAUGUAAUUUAUUCCCCUUGCCCUGAGCAGGAUUGUUCCUUAUAAUACGUUGCGCUGACUACAAUUUAAAGCCGCACAGAAUGUGGCUUCCGUAACAUGUUAUUUUGCAUCGCAAAACCAGCAUGUAAUCUUUGAUCACAAGCAAUCUGUGUUCUGCAGAAGUCCAGUAUGGGCAGAGCAGGAGGAUGCAGCUCAGGCAUGAAGAAGUGCAAUGGCAAGGAUGCCCAAGAGCCUGGAUCUGAAAUAGCAGAGGGCUAUUGCAUGUCUGGACUGAGGGGCAAGAGCCCAGCAUUGGCAUAGUAGGGAUCGUGAGUCAGGAUCGAGUUGUGUUGGCAGUUUGAUGGGAGAAUGGAGGGCAGGGAGGCUGGAAGGCAGAAUCCAUGUGCCCAGGCUGUGUGGGAGCCCCAGACAGGAAGAACAAGGGGUAAUGUGGGGCCCGGUGAGAGUAGAUGACACAUGACAGAUCCAGAGGGAUGGGGUGUGAUUGUAGUGAGAUAUAUCAGCAGAACUGUAUGGAGCAAUCUGAAUGCAUAACCCCUGUCCAAAGCCAACACUAUUAGCCUUGGGCAUGCAAGAAGAUUAACAUGCUGUCGCCACAUGAUUGUGUUACAAGAAUUCAAAGUGGAUCCUGAGCAUUUCCAGCUUGUCUAUUAUUAGAGGCAGAGGGUGACAUGUGCAUACGAGAAAUGGGGUGACACAGUGCUAGACUGGGAUCAUCUGGUUUCUAAAGGGCUUUUGUUGCUUUGUAAAUUCCUACCCAAUUAAAUACCCAUUUAUCUCUCAGGACAGAAGUAUGGGCCAGAUUCAUUCCUCCUGCUGUCCUUAAUGUUGCUAUUUUUAUUGCAGUGUCCUCCAAAACCCAGGGCUGGCUUUAGGAUUUUCACACCAGGGUUGAAUGUGGAUAAGUAGCAUUUCAUAGCAGUAGGAGCCCAUUUGAAAGUAGACAAAACUGAGUGUAAUCAGUUUGAUUCUAGUUUUUAUAUAAAUGUCACUUCUCUUCUAUGAACAUCUGUAUAUAUGUACUCCUAUCUAGUGAUGGUAUAUACAUGGCAUUUAUGUACAUAAGUCUUAAAUGAUGAUGCAUUGCUAUAUCUAUAGCCAAGCGUGUGUGUGUGUAUGAAUACACCCUGCAUAUAAAUAACUUUGUAUACCAUAUUUACAUCUGUGCAGGGACAAAUUAUUGAUUUGUCUGCCUCUGUGGAAUUUGUAGUAUGCCCAUCAGUUCAAUUAUCUAGACAUACACCAGCAUGUUGA